AGAGUUUGAUCAUGGCUCAGAUUGAACGCUGGCGGCAGGCCUAACACAUGCAAGUCGAGCGGUAACACAGGGAGCUUGCUUCUCUGCUGACGAGCGGCGGACGGGUGAGUAAUGUAUGGGGAUCUGCCUGAUGGAGGGGGAUAACUACUGGAAACGGUAGCUAAUACCGCAUAACGUCGCAAGACCAAAGAGGGGGACCUUCGGGCCACAUGCCAUUUGAUGAACCCAUAUGGGAUUAGCUAGUAGGUGGGGUAAUGGCUCACCUAGGCGACGAUCUCUAGCUGGUCUGAGAGGAUGAUCAGCCACACUGGGACUGAGACACGGCCCAGACUCCUACGGGAGGCAGCAGUGGGGAAUAUUGCACAAUGGGCGCAAGCCUGAUGCAGCCAUGCCGCGUGUAUGAAGAAGGCCUUCGGGUUGUAAAGUACUUUCAGCGGGGAGGAAGGCGUUGAGGUUAAUAACCUCAGCGAUUGACGUUACCCGCAGAAGAAGCACCGGCUAACUCCGUGCCAGCAGCCGCGGUAAUAC
rnacentral:rRNA from 1 species